rnacentral:lncRNA from 1 species
GGAACAUGGAGUUCCUGACUCCACUAAUGGGAGUCAGGUAAUGGCGCGAGGGUUAUGAGUCAAAGCUGGCUUUCUCCAGGAUCCUGGGCAGCCCCCUAACUUCUCUGAGCCACAGUCUCCUCGUUCCCUCAGCACUGAAGUCGGCAACCAUGGAGCUGAAGGUCCAGGUCUAGGAGUCACAGCGGGAGAAAAGCCACACGAUCUUCCUAGGUCUCAGUUCAUUUUUUCUGUAAAUAUUGGUAAGUGAUAUAUUCCUUAGGGAAAUCCUCUCUUCACAUGUUUCUGGAAUGUAUAGCCAGUAACAAAUUCUUAAGCAGCAUAAAACAAAUCAGACCUAUCUUCUAAGCAAGUGUUUAUUUUUAAGUCCCAAAAUAAAUACACAUUUGUUCAAAACAAUUAAAAUAGCACCAAAAUGCAGGACUCAGGAAAUGUAAGCACCUCAUAAUCCCACACCUCAGAGAUAAGCAUUAUUUUGUUUGUAAUUAUUCCUCUAGAUCUUUCUAUACAGAUCCCUAUGUAAUAAUAACAAUAUUCAAUGUUCUGAAACUUUUUUUUUUUUUUGAGACCGACCUUCACUCACUCUGUCACCCAGGCUGGAGUGCAGUGGUGCAAUCUUGGUUCACUGCAACCUCAGCCUCCCUGGUUCAAGUGAUUCUCCUGCCUCUGCCUCCCGAGUAGCUGGGAUUACAGGCGCCCGCCACCACACCCAAGUGAUUUUUGUAUUUUUAGUAGAGACGGAGUUUCACCAUGUUGGCCAGACUGGUCUCAAACUCCUGACCUCAGGUGAUCCACCCGCCUCGGCCUCCCAAAGUGUUGGGAUUACAGGCAUGAGCCACCGCCACUGCGCCCAGCCAAGAAACUUGUUUUUUAAUGUAACAAUGUAUCUAUCUUUCUAUAUCAGUACACAUAGAUCUACCUCAUUCUUUCACCUGCUGCAAAAUCUUGCUUUUACCUGAGAGCACAUUUCUUUUUUUCCUUUCUUUUUUUUUUUUUGAGACAGAAUCUCGCUCUCGCCCAGGCUGGAGUGGUGCAGUGGCCGGAUCUCGGCUCACUGCAAACUCUGCCUCCCAGGUUCAUGCCAUUCUCCUGCCUCAGCCUCCUGAGUAGCUGGGACUACGGGGGCCUGCCACCAUGCCCGGCUAAUUUUUUUUUUUUUUUAGUAGAGACGGGGUUUCACCGUGUUAUCCAGGAUGGUCUCGAUCUCCUGACCUCGUGAUCUGCCCGCCUCGGCCUCCCAAAGUGCUGGAUUACAGGCGACAGCGCAUUUCUUGAAGAGACAGUCUGUGGUCUGUGGUUUUUCCGGAAAGCAGUUCUUUGUUGGGUGAUGAUCUUUCAUCAUGGAGGUGAUUGCCUCAGUGGUUUCACUCUCAGACCCGCAGGGAAGAUGCAGUUAUUUGAAUGGACUCUUUGUGGCAAGAAAUAGAGAACUAUCUCAUCUCCUAAAAAAACAUGUUUCUGGAUGAAGAAUUCUUUAUUUCUUAAUAAGUGGUUCUUUCAACUACCAGAGUCAUCCUGUAUGCCUUUCUAAAGUGAUUUUUCUUUUGUCAGUUAGAAUAAAGGGGACGCACA